CACGGUUGCUCCGGGAAUUUUUGGGGCGUAAGGGCUCGCAGGCGGUUUCUUAAGUCUGAUGUGAAAGCCCCCGGCUCAACCGGGGAGGGUCAUUGGAAACUGGGAAACUUGAGUGCAGAAGAGGAGAGUGGAAUUCCACGUGUAGCGGUGAAAUGCGUAGAGAUGUGGAGGAACACCAGUGGCGAAGGCGACUCUCUGGUCUGUAACUGACGCUGAGGAGCGAAAGCGUGGGGAGCGAACAGGAUUAGAUACCCUGGUAGUCCACGCCGUAAACGAUGAGUGCUAAGUGUUAGGGGGUUUCCGCCCCUUAGUGCUGCACCUAACGCAUUAAGCACUCCGCCUGGGCAAUACUGUCGCAAGACUGAAACUCAAAGGAAUUGACGGGGGCCCGCACAAUGGUGGAGCAUGUGGUUUAAUUCGAAGCAACGCGAAAAACCUUA
rnacentral:rRNA from 1 species